rnacentral:rRNA from 1 species
AGUGAACGCUGGCGGUAGGCCUAACACAUGCCAGUCGAACGGCAGCACAGUAAGAGCUUGCUCUUACGGGUGGCGAGUGGCGGACGGGUGAGGAAUACAUCGGAAUCUACUUUUUCGUGGGGGAUAACGUAGGGAAACUUACGCUAAUACCGCAUACGACCUACGGGUGAAAGCAGGGGAUCUUCGGACCUUGCGCGAUUGAAUGAGCCGAUGUCGGAUUAGCUAGUUGGCGGGGUAAAGGCCCACCAAGGCGACGAUCCGUAGCUGGUCUGAGAGGAUGAACAGCCACACUGGAACGGAGACACGGUCCAAACCCCCACGGGAGGGAGAAGUGGGGAAAUUUGGAAAAGGGGCGAAAGCCUGAUCCAGCCAUACCGGGGGGGUGAAGAAGGCCUUCGGGUUGUAAAGCCCUUUUGUUGGGAAAAAAAAGCAGCAGGUUAAUACCCCGCUGUUCUGACGGUACCCAAAGAAUAAGCACCGGCUAACUUCGU